rnacentral:antisense_RNA from 1 species
GCAAGUGCAGGAAUAAUAACAAUAAUAAGGUAAAUGAAAAAACUGUUCUUGAGUUUGCCCAUA